rnacentral:rRNA from 1 species
UUAUACGGCGAAACUGCGAAUGGCUCAUUAAAUCAGUUAUCGUUUAUUUGAUAGUACCUUACUACUUGGAUAACCGUGGUAAUUCUAGAGCUAAUACAUGCUGAAAACCCCGACUUCGGAAGGGAUGUAUUUAUUAGAUUAAAGACCAACGCCCUUCGGGGCUCCCUGGUGAUUCAUAAUAACUUGUCGAAUCGCACGGCCUUGCGCCGGCGAUGGCUCAUUCAAAUUUCUGCCCUAUCAACUUUCGACGGCUGGAUCUGGGCCAGCCGUGGUGACAACGGGUAACGGAGGGUUAGGGCUCGGCCCCGGAGAAGGAGCCUGAGAAACGGCUACUACAUCCAAGGAAGGCAGCAGGCGCGCAAAUUACCCAAUCCCGACGCGGGGAGGUAGUGACAAUAAAUACUGAUACAGGGCUCUUUUGGGUCUUGUAAUUGGAAUGAGUACAAUUUAAUUCCCUUAACGAGGAACAAUUGGAGGGCAAGUCUGGUGCCAGCAGCCGCGGUAAUUCCAGCUCCAAUAGCGUAUAUUAAAGUUGUUGCAGUUAAAAAGCUCGUAGUUGAACCUUGGGCCUGGCUGGCCGGUCCGCCUCACCGCGUGCACUGGUCCGGCCGGGCCUUUCCCUCUGGGGAGCCGCAUGUCCUUCACUGGGCGUGUCGGGGAACCAGGACUUUUACUUUGAAAAAAUUAGAGUGUUCAAAGCAGGCUUAUGCUCGAAUACAUUAGCAUGGAAUAAUAGAAUAGGACGUGUGGUUCUAUUUUGUUGGUUUCUAGGACCGCCGUAAUGAUUAAUAGGGACAGUCGGGGGCAUCAGUAUUCAAUUGUCAGAGGUGAAA